GCACCAUUAGCUCAGUUGGUAGAGCAACUGACUCUUAAUCAGUGGGUCCUGGGUUCGAGCCCCCGAUGGUGCACCA
rnacentral:tRNA from 4 species